rnacentral:rRNA from 1 species
UUAGAGUUUGAUCCUGGCUCAGGAUGAACGCUAGCGGCAGGCUUAACACAUGCAAGUCGAGGGGCAGCAAGAUCACUGCUUGCACUGAUUGUCGGCGACCGGCGCACGGGUGCGUAACGCGUAUGCAACCUACCCAUUACAGGGGGAUAACACUGAUAAAUCGGUACUAAUACCCCAUAACAUCCAGGGAGGCAUCUUCUUGGGUUGAAAACUCCGGUGGUAAUGGAUGGGCAUGCGUUGUAUUAGUUAGUUGGUGGGGUAACGGCUCACCGAGACAACGAUACAUAGGGGGACUGAGAGGUUAACCCCCCACAUUGGUACUGAGACACAGACCAAACUCCUACGGGAGGCAGCAGUGAGGAAUAUUGGUCAAUGAACGCAAGUCUAAACCACCCAUGCCGCGUGCAAGAAGACGGCUCUAUGAGUUGGAAACUGCUUUUGUACCAAGGUAAACGCAAAUACCCAUAUCUGUCUGAAAGUAUCGUACGAAUAAGGAUCGGCUAACUCCGUGCCAGCAGCCGCGGUAAUACGGAGGAUUCAAGCGUUAUCCGGAUUUAUUGGGUUUAAAGGGUGAGUAGGCGGUCGGAUUAGUUAGAGGUGAAAUCCCGGUGAUCAACUUCGGAAUUGCCUAUGAUACUGUUCGGCUAGAGAGUAGUUGCGGUAGGCGGAAUGUAUGGUGUAGCCUGUGAAAUGUCUAGAGAUCAUACAGAACACCGAUUGUGAAGGCAGCUUAUCAAGCUAUUUAUCACGUCGAGGCACGAAAGCGUUGGCGAGCAAGCACGAUUAGAUACCAUGUUAGUCCACGCAGUAAACGAUGAUAACUCGUUGUCGCCGAUACAGUGUCGGUGACUAAGCGAAAGCGAUAAGUUAUCCACCUGGGGAGUAGUUUAGCAGAGAAUUAAACUCAAAGGGACUUGCGAGGGCGCCCGCACAAGCGGACGAACAUGUUGUUUAAUCCGAUGAUACGUGAGGAACCUGACCCCGGUUAUAAAGUUAGUGACGGAUCUUGAUAGAGGUCUUCCCCUCGGGGCACGAUUCUAGGUGGUGCAUGGUUGUAGUCAUCUGGUCCCGUGAUGAGUUGCGUUAAGUCCCAUAAUGAUCGCAACCCCUCCCCCCAUUUUCCAGCAGGUCAAGCGGGGCAUUCCCACGGGACUACCGGUGUAAGCCGUGAUGAAGGUGGGGAAGAUGUCAAAUCAGCACGUCCCUUACUUCCGGGGCUACACACGUGUUACAAUGGGGGGUACAGCGGGAAGCCAGGCGGCGAUGCCGAGCGGAACCCGAAAGCCCCUCUCAGUUCGUAUCGGAGUCUGCAACCCGAUUCCGAGAAGCAGGAUUCGCUAGUAAUCGCGCAUCAGCCAUGGCGCGGUGAAUACGUUCCCGGUCCUUGUACUCACCGCCCGUCA